CCUACGGGUGGCAGCAGUGGGGAAUAUUGGACAAUGGGGGGAACCCUGAUCCAGCGACGCCGCGUGAGUGAAGAAGUCUCUCGGUAUGUAAAGCUCUAUCAGCAGGGAAGAAAGAAAUGACGGUACCUGACUAAGAAGCCCCGGCUAACUACGUGCCAGCAGCCGCGGUAAUACGUAGGGGGCAAUCGUUAUCCGGAUUUACUGGGUGUAAAGGGAGCGUAGACGGCUGAGCAAGUCCGAAGUGAAAGGCGGGGGCCCAACCCCCGGACUGCCUUUGAACCUGUAUAGCUAGAGUGCGGGAGAGGUAAGUGGAAUGCCUGGUGUAGCGGUGAAAUGCGUAGAUAUUAGGAGGAACACCAGUGGCGAAGGCGGCUUACUGGACUGUAACUGACGUUGAGGCUCGAAAGCGUGGGGAGCAAACAGGAUUAGAUACCCGAGUAGUC
rnacentral:rRNA from 1 species